rnacentral:rRNA from 1 species
UACGUAGGGUGCAAGCGUUGUCCGGAAUUAUUGGGCGUAAAGAGCUCGUAGGCGGUCCGUCACGUCGGCUGUGAAAACCUGGGGCUCAACCCCGGGCCUGCAGCCGAUACGGGCGGACUAGAAUUCGGUAGGGGAGACUGGAAUUCCUGGUGUAGCGGUGAAAUGCGCAGAUAUCAGGAGGAACACCGGUGGCGAAGGCGGGUCUCUGGGCCGGUAUUGACGCUGAGGCACGAAAGCGUGGGGAGCAAACAGG